GAAAGCUUAAAAAAUCCCCGCUGUUUGUGUUUUUCUUUUGGUUUAUGAAACUCCUUGUUUCAAAUCUCAAAUACUGCCCUCUGAUUUUCCUGCUCUAGUAUUGAAUAGCGCCAACAAUGUGCCUUUGACUCUACCACUGGAUGUUUCCUGGGUUUUCACUCCCCCCUUGCAUAAAGGGGAAAAGAGAACUUAAUCAAUCAAGUGGAAAAAGUACUUUAAAUGAUAAGGAGUUUCUCCUAUUUUUUUUUCAAAUGUGCAUUUUAGGGAAAACUAUCAAAAACGAAAUACAAGAUGUCUUUUUUCAUAUACUUUAAUUUUCAAAGAGGCAUGUUCGUUCUGAUAAGGUGCAUAGAAGCUGAUAAUAAGUCUAUUCUAACACUAUCAGCAAUCAGCCACAGGCUGUCAAAGACCUUUCAAGUGUCAGGUCCUUCUCACUGUCUUCUUAUUCACCAUUAGACCUGGCUCACCGGAAACUGCUUAGUGCAUGCAGGUUCUGGUCCUGGGUAGAGAGAAGCAUUGUUCAUGAGAGGAAAACAUGGAAAAACGUAUUCAUCCUGGGCCCUCAGAAGUCAGGAAAGGAACCUGAAGAAUACACUUUGCCACAAGGAGGAAAAUAUGCCAGACAGGUCAUGCAAGUCUUCACUCUGCAUUUAUGUUAAAUUUAAAUUUAUCGUUUGCUUUUCUGGAUUUCUACACCAGUCUUCUGUGAGCAGGAGCAUAUGUAAGUUUUAUUUGGCCUUGAUUUACACAGUUUGUUGGGGAAGACUCUUUAAGGAAAAGAAUAUAAAUUUUGGAAUAAAAUCUUUGGUGGGAAGGUGGACA
rnacentral:lncRNA from 1 species